GACGAACGCUGGCGGCGUGCUUAACACAUGCAAGUCGAACGGAAAGGCCCUGCUUUUGUGGGGUGCUCGAGUGGCGAACGGGUGAGUAACACGUGAGUAACCUGCCCUUGACUUUGGGAUAACUUUAGGAAACUGGGGCUAAUACCGGAUAGGAGCUCCUGCUGCAUGGUGGGGGUUGGAAAGUUUCGGCGGUUGGGGAUGGACUCGCGGCUUAUCAGCUUGUUGGUGGGGUAGUGGCUUACCAAGGCUUUGACGGGUAGCCGGCCUGAGAGGGUGACCGGCCACAUUGGGACUGAGAUACGGCCCAGACUCCUACGGGAGGCAGCAGUGGGGAAUAUUGCACAAUGGGCGGAAGCCUGAUGCAGCAACGCCGCGUGCGGGAUGACGGCCUUCGGGUUGUAAACCGCUUUCGCCUGUGACGAAGCGUGAGUGACGGCAAUGGGUAAAGAAGCACCGGCUAACUACGUG
rnacentral:rRNA from 1 species